CCGAGAAUAUUCGACAAUGGGCGAAAGCCUGAUCGAGCGAUACCGCGUGGUGGAUGAAGCGCUUCGGCGCGUAAACAUCUUUUAUGGAGGAGGAAGUUAUUGACGUUACUCCAUGAAUAAGGGGCUCCUAACUCUGUGCCAGCAGGAGCGGUAAUACAGAGGCCCCAAGCGUUACCCGGAAUUACUGGGCGUAAAGAGUGCGUAGGUGGUCUGCUUAGUCGCGCGUCAAAACCCGAGGCUCAACCUCGGAUCCGCGCGCGAAACGGGCAGACUCGAGGGCGUGAGAGGUACAUGGAACUCAUGGUGUAGGGGUGAAAUCCGUUGAUAUCAUGGGGAACACCGAAAGCGAAGGCAAUGUACUGGCGCGUUUCUGACACUCAAGCACGAAAGCGUGGGUAGCGAACGGGAUUAGAUACCCGUGUAGUCC
rnacentral:rRNA from 1 species